GCCGUCUUAGCUCAACUGGCAGAGCAACUGAUUUGUAAUCAGUAGGUUGGCGGUUCGAUUCCGUUAGACGGCACCA
rnacentral:tRNA from 1 species